AGUAACAUUCUGAUUUCUGAAGUUUAUAUAAUCAUUCUUAGUUCGCCUUUACUAUCACCCAUAAUCAUAUCUUUCAAAAGAUUUGCAGUAAAUUGAUUUUGUUCUCCUUGAGUCUUGUUUUGGAACUACUAGAAUUUUUUGGUGACAGUCAGCCGGCGGAAUUAGGAAAUAGCAAAACCCCUUGCUAGUUCUGCUAAUUUUGAAUUAGGAGGAUGAAAGGUUACGUCUUUGUGAGUAUGGGGUAUUCAUGAUAGUUUAGAUAGGACAUCUCUCUAACAUAUUGGUAUGCUUAAUUAGCAGCUCUUGGUUCUUUUGGGCAGUAAAUUUGGUUUCAAUUGGUUUACUUCAUGGUACCUUGUAUAUAAAUCCACAAAAAUACCCUAGUUAUUGUUCUUGAUAUCAUAUAAGAAGAAGAGAAGUCAUGGUUGAAAUGAUUUAUUGAUACUACAGGAUUACUUUUCUUAUGGAAAGUUU
rnacentral:misc_RNA from 1 species